ACUGUCUUAAUUUAAUUAAAAGUUUAAUUUAAUUUUUAAGUUAAAAAGCUUAAAUAUUUUUAAAGGACGAGAAGACCCUAUAGAGUUUUAUAUUAUUAUUUAAUAAAAAUAUUUAAUUAUUAUUUUAUUAAUUAAUAAUAUUUUAUUGGGGCGAUAAAAAAAUUUAUUUAACUUUUUUAUUUAAAUUUUCAUUAAUUUAUGAAUUUUUGAUCCUUUUGUA
rnacentral:rRNA from 1 species